rnacentral:lncRNA from 1 species
UUAAAUAAAGUCACAUGCUUACCAAAUCAAUAGCAAUCGAACUUGCACGAUAAGGAUUUCCCCAAACCAAACUUGAAAUACUUGAAUUGGAAAGUAGACGAAGAAAAACAAAAGAAAGAAAACCCAAAGAAAAAGAAGAACUAAUUGAUUUUUAGGAGAGAUAGGAAAAAUAAAAUAAAAAAUAAUCAAAAAGAUUAUCCCAACUCCCCAUUAUCCCACUAACUAACAAAUCCUCCCAAAAUCGACCCACUAUUCUCAUCCACUACCAC